GAAAGAUUUCAAUCCUCUUUUACUCCUGUUAGUCAUUCAGGAUGAUAAUGGGAGACAUGCACCACUACCGCAGUGUGCUGGAGAAAAGGUGUGGACUUUCAGAUGUAAAUACAAUAAAGGGAAAAUAGAAAUGAGAAGAGAACAAAGUUGUCUGUCAACAUGACUUCUAUGACAGAUUUUCUUGCUGUUCAGCAACGAUUCUAAUUCAAUUGCUGGCUGCUGUGAAGGAGAUGAGAUGCCAGAAGCAGAAGCGCUGCAAACCAGAACAAAAAAUAAUUACUAGUAGAAAUGUGCUGAAAAUAAUUCCCUUGAAAAUACAGUUGCAUUGUUCUUCUA